CCGCCACACAGAGUUGUUUGAGGCACACUCUAUAGGAGAUGCCAAGGUGUAUACCGCCACACAGAGUUGUUUGAGGCACAGGCCACUUAUUAGUCUGAUAAUGGUAUAGGAGAUGCCAAGGUGUAUACCGCCACACAGAGUUGUUUGAGGCACAGGCCACUUAUUAGUCUGAUAAUGGUAUAGGAGAUGCCAAGGUGUAUACCGCCACACAGAGUUGUUUGAGGCACAGGCCACUUAUUAGUCUGAUAAUGGUAUAGGAGAUGCCAAGGUGUAUACCGCCACACAGAGUUGUUUGAGGCACAGGCCACUUAUUAGUCUGAUAAUGGUAUAGGAGAUGCCAAGGUGUAUACCGCCACACAGAGUUGUUUGAGGCACACUCUAUAGGAGAUGCCAAGGUGCAUACCGCCACACAGAGUUGUUUGAGGCACAGGCCACUUAUUAGUCUGAUAAUGGUAUAGGAGAUGCCAAGGUGUAUACCGCCACACAGAGUUGUUUGAGGC